rnacentral:rRNA from 1 species
UGGGUUUGACAUAUGCCGGACCGUCCUGGAAACAGGGCUUUCCUCUUUUGAGGACCGGUAUACAGGUGCUGCAUGGCUGUCGUCAGCUCGUGCCGUGAGGUGUUCGGUUAAGUCCGGCAACGAGCGCAACCCGUGUCGCCAGUUACCAGCGGGUAAUGCCGGGGACUCUGGUGAGACUGCCCGUGUCAAGCGGGAGGAAGGCGCGGAUGACGUCAAGUCCGUAUGGCCCUUACGUCCAGGGCUGCACACGUGCUACAAUGGGCGGUACAGUGGGAAGCAAGACCGCGAGGUGGAGCCAAUCCCCAAAACCGUCCCCAGUUCGGAUUGGAGUCUGCAACUCGACUCCAUGAAGCCGGAAUCGCUAGUAAAGGCGUAUCAGCAACGGCGCCUUGAAUACGUUCCCGGGCCU